AUUCAUCCUCGGAAACGUUCCGAUGUGAUCAAUUUUUCGUAGGGGUAUUGAAUAGUUACAGGUAAAUGAUUCACAUGGGACAAGCUAAUCAUGAAACCUUAACCAAUGUACCUUGCAGCUCGUAUUGUUUGUUGACCAUAAUUCAUAAACUUAGUUACCAUAGGAAACAUAUCAUAAAUAUUUAUAAAUAAUUUUAUACUUGUUUCUUUUUCUUGUUUGAGAGAAGUCGGGAAUAUGGAAUAUUCCAUUCCUUUACAGUGAAAGAAGUUAGAAUGGAAUUGUUAAUAAUAGAUUAUCUAGAGAAAUAGGUAAAAGAAAUUUCCUUCCAAUAUUUAAUACUUGGUCUAUUCUCAAUCUCGGUAAAGCCCAUCUUGUUGCAAUAGAAAUGAACAAGAACAAAUAAAUUUUAGCUAAUGUAAUAAAGAUACCGAUUAUUGUUCCAAAAACUUUACCUCUUUCAAAAAGCUCAGGAAUGAAUAUGUACGGAAUAGAAAGAUUCCAACCCCUCAAAAUAAAGAACUGUUACAAAUAAUAAAGAACCAAGUAGAUUCAGAUACGAAGCAACAAAAAAUAAAGCAAAUUUGAUACCUGAAUAUUCAGUUUGAUAACCUACUACUAAUUCCUCUUUUGCUCUGGUAAAUCAAAAGUUAAUCUCUCACACUCGGCUAGAGAAUAAAUUAGGAAAAUAAUAAACCCUAUAGGUUGAUGCCCCAAAUUCCAUCCUCAAGAACCAUAUCUUGGCUGCACUUCAAUUAUAUCAACUGUACUUGAACUGCUACAUAAUCAUAGUCGAUUAUAACAUCACUGUUCCAAUCGCUAUUGCAGAAUCGUACAUGAUAUUUUCACCUCAGAGGUCAUAAAUAAAUCUAUAUACCUUUCGACAUUAUUUAUCUUCAUAUGUUUAUAAGAUAGACAGAGAUUCAAACUCUUAUCCUAAGGUAGACCAAUAGAAUUUUGUCUGCUAUUUCUAA
rnacentral:lncRNA from 1 species